CAUCCUCACUUCUGAUUUUAGCCGCCCACUUCAUCUCCUCUCCUCUCCUCUCCUCUCCUCUCCUCUCUCCUUGCCGAAAUCGCCGCCGCCGCCGCUGCCGUUGAUCCCGUCACUGUCGCCGCUGCUGGACGCUCCUCUCGCCACUACCGCCACUGCCGCCACUUCCGCCACUGCCUAUCAAAUAUUUCAGUUGGAGAUGAGUAUCUGCCAAUUGCAACUGCAAAUGGAAGCAUUCUGACUUGGUCUAUAUUAGGCAGUGGGAGGAUUUGGUAGAGGUCAGGGUCAUUCUGGUGGAAAUGAAACUGUUACUGGAAGGGCAUGUCCAAAAGGGCUUUAUGGUAUAUUCUGCGAGAAGAGCAGUAUUAUCUUAGAGGUAGAGGGCAUGGCCAGCAGCUCUCUAUGAAUGAAAGACAUGAGACAACAGAGAUGCAAAAGGAAACACGAGAGCAUACUCCACAAGCAAACAUAUUUUCAUCAUCACACAACUGUAGAUUCUACUUCUCCAUCAGAUGUUUCAGCAAACUGAUAGAUUUGUUUUAAAUUUUAUGAAUAUUGUUAAGUAUAUGGAUUUGUUCUAAACUUUCGAUUUUGUAAAUGUUGUGAAGUA